AUGAUAAAAGGAAUGCAAAAACUUUUUACAAACGAUACAUUUAUAAAAUACUGAGCAUAAGUAUGAAAAUCAUGGAAAAUGUGAACAACUUAAUUCCAUUUCCCUUGUCUGUAACUUCAAUGGUGUUUGGAGUACUACCCUGGGGUUCAUUCAAGAAUCUAUCUGGCAAACUCUCAUCACUGUAUACUGGAAUUCUUCUAAUCAUUUUUUCAUCAUCCGUCAUGUUAUUCGCUUGGAAAUGCGCCAACGCUUCUACAAAUAAUGCGAAUCGCAAAUCGUUGAAGGAAAUCCGAAAACUGUGGAUCGAUUAUUUGAUGCAAGUCUACCCAGCUAUAAGAAUAGUCAAUAGUCUACCAGCGUUUUAUAUCUCAUUUAUAUGCAUGGAAAGGGUUUACUCAAAGAUAAUAAAGUUCAUUCACAUAAGUGAUGUUAUGAUGGGUUAUGGUAAAUUUGAUACAACAUUUAACAGAAAACAAUUCUGGUAUGGUUUGAUUAUAUAUCUGUUAAUAGCUGUAGCAAUAUGUCCGUUCAAGGCUGUAAUGUUGCUAAAUAUUUCCAAAGAACUGUUGAAAUCGUUGAAUCUAACUACUCUACUACUCUUUCCCGUCUCAUAUUUUGGGAAUUUCGCUGUAAUUUGUGUUGAAAUGCAGUUUGCAUGUAUAUGCAGGGCGAUAUAUUUACGACUAGCCCUGAUAAAUCUACGAUUGAAGACUUUGAUCGAUGAAGUUAGAACAAGGAGGCUGUCAGUUCUUUUAGAUGUGCCGAGUUCACAGAUAGUCAAAAGUGAAUUAGAUAGAAAAGUUGUUUUCGUCAAUCGUUAUUUUUCCAAAUCGGAAAAAGUGAAAAUAUUGUGGAAAAAAUUGAAAAUGAACAGAAGAAAAGCCAUGUCCAAAGUUUUACCCAUGUUAGUCAAUUGUGCCCCAAAAACCAAUUUUUCCUUUCAAGAUGACCACGAUUUAUUGAAAGAACUAAUAUCUCUACGUCUAUCCUACAGACAUCUCCAUUUGUGUUUGAAAAGUGUGCAGGACAUGUUUGGUAUUCAUUUGUUGUUCAGUUUCUGCUCUCUGUUCAUCAUGAUUGUGUUUUUCAUUUAUUUUGAAUUCUAUCACAAGCAGUCGGAAAGUAAAAUUUUCCACUUUUUUUAUUUGAUUUGUGGUUGGCUGCUGCAUCUUAUUCUCAGAUUCAACUUACUGCUGUGGCAGGCGUAUCAAACAACGCAAGAAGCUGAAAAAAUUGAAGAAAUACUGCCUCUAGCUAUGGGCAGGCAGCUGGAUCAAUCGGUGAAGGACGAGCUCCAAAUGUUCUCUAUUGAAGUAUCAUGCAGUGAUUGGAAAAUUACUGGUUGGAAUUUUUUCGUUUUGAAGCCGGAAUUGUUUGUUUGGACUGUUGGUGGAGUUGCUACCUAUCUUGGAAUCAUAGUAAACUUGGAUGUAAAUUCAUCAAAUUGAGAAAAAAACACAAGAAAUCAUUCACCAUAAAAAAUGUUGAAACUAGAAUCAAAAACACUGAUGAAAAAUGCUACGGGUAUUGCAUCAGAAAAAUAUAAUUAUAUGAUUCUGAAUUCUGUUAUUUUAUGAAAAAUGUCAUCGGAAGCUUGUCAACAGACACCAGUAUAACGCGUUCAGAUAAUUUGAGUUGGGAAAAAU
rnacentral:misc_RNA from 1 species